UACGAAGGGUGCAAGCGUUACUCGGAAUUACUGGGCGUAAAGCGUGCGUAGGCGGUUCGUUAAGUCUGUCGUGAAAGCCCUGGGCUCAACCUGGGAAUUGCGAUGGAUACUGGCGUGCUGGAGUGUGGCAGAGGGAGGUGGAAUUCCACGUGUAGCAGUGAAAUGCGUAGAGAUGUGGAGGAACACCGAUGGCGAAGGCAGCCUCCUGGGCCAGCACUGACGCUCAUGCACGAAAGCGUGGGGAGCAAACAGG
rnacentral:rRNA from 1 species